GGGGAUUGGAACUAUUUAAUACUGAGUCUUUGAGAUGUGAAGUGAAGUCAAAGUCUUUUUGCCUGUGAUUUUUUAGAUAUCUGCAAGCCUGUAUCUUCUUCUUUUUUAAUUUUCUUUAUAGCAACUUUAGUUGAACUUGAAUUUUAUCAUCAAAACCAAGUAAAUGGGGAUAAAAUAGAUACACGACUCUCAUACCAUUUAACAUGAAACAUGUAU
rnacentral:lncRNA from 1 species